GCGUCUUUCCCUUCGGUCAUCCCACAAUCAAUUCGGAUAAUGUUGGUCAUGGACCGUAACCAUACACACUCGCGGCUGGCCUCAUGAAUAGCCAAAAUCUCAGAAUGGUUAAAGGAUGUGGCCGCGAUCGUCUGCUUCAUGGAAAGCCAUGAUAUGGCUGUACCACCAUGUGUAAAGACAUAGCCUGUCUGUGAUCGAGCAUUGUGCGGAUCCGAGAGAUAACCUGCAUCAGCAAAACCAACUAAACCUUCUUUGUUUUGGUUAGUAUAAAAUAGACCUAAGUCUUUCGUUCCUUGUAGGUAACGAAGAACAUGUUUAAUCCCGUUCCAGUGCCUUUGGGUUGGACAAGAGCUAAACCUAGAUAGUAGGUUCACGGUAAAGCAUAUGUAUGGUCGUGUGUGACUAGCCAGAUACAUCAAAGCUCCUAUAUAUUAUAUUACACAUAAAAAUACCAUAAAAUACUCAAUAGUUUAUUUUUGGAAGUCUUUUUUAUAUGAGCUUGGUAGAUAUAUUCCUUUUUGGUCUAGUCAAUCAAGAUGUUUGAAACCAAACGUUUGGUUUAGUAAGAAACAUGUAUAAUCUCAUUAAUGUGUUGGGGACAUAAAUUAUGUUUUACGGGAGUUAGUUAUUAUAUUCGAAUAUGAAUAUUGAAAAUAAGGCAAAUUGUGUAUGAUAAUUAAUAAUAAUUUAAAAUAUAUACUUAUUAUUAAGACAGUGGCAUGAGAUGGUAAUUAUUGAGGGGAACUUAGGGCAAAGUACAAAAUGUACUACUCUUUUAAUAGAUUAGAUUAGAUAGUACAAUGUAAAAUAAUUCAUUAAUUCUAAAAUAAUAAUAGUAGAAAUGUGUAAGCCUCCCUUUGGCUAAAUAUAGAGACUUUUUCUGAUCAAAAGAUAAAUAUAGAGACUUCAGUUAAUUACAUACUAAAGUCUUUAUUACUCUGGAGGAGGAAGGUACACUGAAAUUAUUAAAACCAUUUGUGGUUUUAAUUUUAGCGACUGAAAUUUGCAUUCAAUGACUCAAAGUUGUUGUCACUUUAGUAAUAAUUCAAACUUGCAAUCCAUUGAAAGCAUCUUACGAAAGCAUCUUCAUUCUAACCAUUAGACAAACAAAAAGCUUUUCUUGUACUAAAGAUUCCUCUGACCGAUAGACAAGAAAGUGGCUUUAACCUAGUAGUACAAUAAUGUAAAAUAAUUCACUCACUUUUGAAAUAAUAAUAGUAGAAAUGUUUAAACCCCCUUACUAUGUAAUUAAAGUCUUUAUUACUCCUGAGGGGCAAGGUACACUAGCUUGCCACUCUAUAUAACUCACUCCUGAUUCCCCUCUUUAAACUCAACAAAUCAAAACACUCAUAUAGUGACCAUAUCAAUAUGAACAGCACCGAGAGAAAAGAUGACAAAGAUGAGAGUUCGACAUUUUACGAUACCGCAACCAAAGUCAUCGGCGUGGUUGGAGCCAUUGGAGCGGCCGCUAGUCUAUUCUCGUGGAUGACAUCAGGCUCAGAUGAGAACGGCCCGAAAGAGAAGAUGAUGAAGGCUCCUGGUGGGAAUGGUUCGAUUAUUCCUAGGGCACCUUUCGAAGCCAACCCGAGAGAUCACUUCAAGAACCAGCGUCAGCUUAAUAAGAAAUGAAAAAAAAAUGAUUAUGUGGAGAUAUUUAAUAUUUCCCACUUAGUUUUCUAUUAACUGCAUAAUAAACCGUUGCAUAUGACGGAUAUAUGUCUUAUAUGUAGCAUGUUAUAUAUAUGCAUCUGUAUAAUAUUGCAACUUUAUUUACUCGUGUAUAAUUUUAAUAAGUCAAUUUAUGGAUGUAAUAUUUGCUAUUCUACGUUUACCAAAAAAAAAAUUGUUAUUUUAGUAUAUUCAUGUUUAAAUUUGUUGUUUUCGGGAGCCGAUUAAGAAUGUUGACUGAGGCCAUGAAAUUUUGUUAAUCAGUAUAAGUCAUGUGAUAAAACCGUAGAAAAGUGAAGAUAGCAUGACCAGAAGUUUGCAAAUCGAAAUGCGAAGGAAGCUUAAGAAGUGAAUACAAUAUGGUGCUUGAAAUUAACCUUUGCUUAUCUUGUCCUCUAAGUCGUCGCUCUGGAUAAACAGGAUCAACAUGCAUUUCAUUAUUAAAUGUUCAAUUUGGAUGGUGAAAGUGAAUACAAAAGCUGGCUCAUAUGGGACAAUAGGUCAAUCCUUUUGCCUUGCGGAGGUGAAAAGUGGUCGAACUACUUCGCUUUGGCAUGGAUCGUGGUUCCCGCUAGGAUGUAUUUGGGACCAGUGGCAGAGGCCGCUUGUGGGGAGGGAGGUAACUUGACACCCCUAUGAAUUUCAGAGUUUUAGAAAAAUUACUUGUAUUUUGAAGAAACAAAAUUGUUUAAUUCUGUAAAAUUGAUUUAUUGACCCCCGUAACUUUUUCUCUCCGGAGUAACUUGACCCCAUGAUUUAUAUUCUUAAUACUACCAUUUUGAUAACGUGGGUAAAUGUCACUGCUUUUUUUUAACCCUGAUUUAUUAGAAAAUUUAUCAUUAUCUAUUAUAUACUAUUCCAUAUUAGUUUAGGAAAUUAGGUUAAUUUUUUCUCUAUAUAAACUAUGCAUUUGUAACAUUAUUUUUAUGUGAGUAAUAUAAUUCUUUCAUAAACACUUUUGUGUUCUUUACUCUCAUCAAUUUGUUAUGGUAUCAGAGCUGGCCCAACAUCCUGACCCAUUAAUCCGGUCCGGAUAAUGGUCCGAUCAUCCCAUUAGCUGAUGGCUCAUAGAAAGCUCAGUUCCGCCGAGAUUGCUAAAAAAUAAAGCAUAGUCUCGGAGGAGUAUUAUGGAUUCUGCGAGAUUGAUGGUUAUACGCAUCAUUAUCUCGAGGGAGGGCGUUGGAGAGAAUAUCACACAUUGGAAAUAUGUAAAAGACUUGAGUAAUAUAUAAGAGAUUUGAGCCAAUCCACUAAUUGUCAAUUGGUUUUAAGUUGGAAAUGCUGUAUAAUUGUUUAAUAAAUCACUUUCUCCUGGACUUGAAACCUGGAUUUCCUGUAAUCUGCAAAAAACUGCAUUGGGAUUUGAACUCAUACCUGGAUGUAGAAAGCCUUUAAACCUUAACCAAUAGACUACGGUGCUAUGUCACUACUUUAAUAGUUCUUUUUGGAGAAAUGGCAUUCUAAUUAAAACUUUAAUAAUCCUUUCCAUAUUUUCCUUACGUUUUAAUUUGUUUGAUUUUCUUUCCAAUUUUUCCAGCUGUCUAACAUUUCUAUUUCAGUAAAAAAAAAAAGCAAACUUUUUUGCAUUUUUCAUAACAUAUUCUUAUUUUAUUCUUCAUUAUAUUUUUGUCUUUAACCAUUUUGGAUUAUAGAGUUCCAAUGAAUACCAAAUACUAUUUUGUAGGUUAAUGUUUGAAUAAAUAUAAACUUUAAUAAUUUUAAUUUAUUUAAUAAUUUUAAUUUAUUUAACUAAUUAAUUUUAAUAAUUUGCAUAUCAUUUAUAUUCUAUUAUAAAAAAAAAUUGACCCAGUCAAACUAAUGUCUGGUUCCGCAUUGUUUGGGACUCUCGUGGGGCUUGAUGUCAGAUCGACAUGGGUAUCUCUACAAAUGCGACUGUAGAAGAAGCUAUGAUGAAUCUCUUAGCACAAAUGGAAACAUGGAUCAAAAUAGAAAAGGGAAUCACAGAAGAAAAUAAGAUUUCGUCAACAGUUAACAAUUAAUCCCAAUAUCCUACUAUAAUACUAAUCUCCAUAUAUAACUUAUGCAUAUUGAUAAGUACAAAGUUUACUCCACUAAUAGGAGUAGUACAAGAGAUGUCAAUCCAAUCAUAAGUUGUUUCAAGUAAUGAGAAUGCAUAUUAUUAGCUUAGUCUAACCAAUCAAAGUAGAAUUUAGUUGUAACAAGUGUCUAACUAUAACUCAAACUCAAGUAACAAGUAACCUAAACACAAACCUUCAAUCAGUAAUAAAAGAGAGUCCACGGGUGAUAUGUAAUUGAACUGAGGUGAUUAAGAUCCAAUUCAAGGUGCUAAUCAAACAAAUAUAAAGUUUCUAUAAGUUUUUUUUUUGAAUUAUACAGGGGUAUCCUAGCCCCACAACAGUGGUCCAGACUAGUCACGUGUCGGUCUCAUGUCUCUAAAGAUGCCGAAAUUUUAAUUCUCUAGUGGCCGGAAUUCGAACUUCGGUGACUUCACCGUAUUAGGCUUUUGCCAUCAAGUUAAUCACCACUAGGCCAAAAGCCCUAGUUAAGUUUCUAUAAGUCUAGAAGACACAAAAUAGAUUAAUUAUUUUCCAAGACAAUAAUCUCAAUGUAAUCAAGCAUUAAUUAUACAUCAAAUCCCGUUGGUCUACUUCAAUCAAACAUGUAUUAAGAACAAACACUACAAGAAAAAUGAGUUUUGAUAGCAAUACAGUAUAACGUUUUUUACCUUUCUGCUAUAAUUGACAUACCCUUUAGUUUUAGAUAACGUUUGCAAAAAUACAAACGCUAUGUUUGGUUGAUCCGAAUUAAAUUCUGAAAACACUUUUUAGAAACGUAGUAUAUAUAUAGCACUCUCAAACUUGAAACACUAUGCAUAAUUAAAGCGGGAAAAUAGUUGAUUUUCCCUCUCAUCCUUAUUUUACUUUCUCUCUCUAUAAAUUUCAUUUAUCAACUUUUAAAAACUCUAUACUCUAAACCAUAAACUUUAAACAUAAACCUUAAAGCUCAAGUAUUUUUUUUAUUUUAAUCACAAAUCAAAGUUUAAAUUCAAAUUUUAAUAUUAUUAAAAAUUAAAUUUUAAAAUAUCAUCUAAACUUCAAACCCUAAACUUUAGACUUAUAUAUAUAUAUAUAUAUAUAUCAUACCCCAAAUUAAUCUUUUUUUUGAAACACACCGAGAUUAAUUAUAUAUUGUAAACUCUAACUAAAAAUCUUAAAAACUCUAAUCGUUUUUAUUAUUUAACUUCGAAUCCAAAAUUUUAUCUCAAAACAUAAAAUCUAACCCUCCAACACUCCAAACCCUAUAUAUCACAAACAUUAAAAGACCCAAACAUUAAACUUAAACUUCUUAAAAUUGAAUCUCUUACAAUUUUUAAUCUAAAUUCUAAUAUUAAAUCUUUUCCUAAGCAUAAAAUCCAAAUUUAUGUUUCAAACUUUAAUUUCAAUUCUUAUACAUAAACCUUUUAAUCCUAUAUUCUAUUUUUUUUUUACCAAAAACACUUAAAACCUUCAUUUUAUAUUUUUACUCAUAAAACUGUAUUAUAAACAAUAAAAUAAAAUAUGAAAAUCUAUUUCUAUACGUAAAUUAAAUAAAAAUACAAACUAAGUUUCUUAUAACUUUAUUGACAAGAAAAUACUAUAUAGCAAAGAAAAGAUAAACCAAAAAUGAAAAACUUAUUGGCUAAUAAAAAUUGGUGGGGAUAAGCAAAACUUAAUCUCAACCGUUGGUAAACCUUAAUCUAGGUGAUGAAAUUUCAUUGGCUAAAGGUUGCCUCGUCUUUCUUAUUUUUCUUGUUCAUCUCAUUUUCUUCUCCUUACGGUUUACACAGAUCUUCACUUUCACUCUCUCUUUGUUUUAUUUGAUUAAUCCACCAAUUCUCACCGACCUAUCUCUCCAUCCCCGACAUCUCGCGACACCAACAUCUCGUGCUACCGCCAUAUCACCAAUGAGACAACGUCAUGAAGAGGAGGAAGAAGAUGCGGCGGAGGUGGUGCAUAGAUAAAAGAGGAAGAAGAGAUGCGGCGAGGUAAAUGGGACGAGCUUGCGGUGAUGGAUCCGGCGGAGACAAUGAAUCUUCAGAUCUGAAGAAGCUGUGGUGUGGAUAUGGCAGAAGUUAGGGUAGUGGUGUGGAGGUGGAGCCAAGCACGAAGAAGAUAGAUGAUUGAAGAUGUGGUUUAGAAAUUUAGGUUUAGUUUCUAUUUUUUCAAAAAUUGGUUUAGCUUGGCUUAGUUUGGUUUAGUUUAAUAUACCAAUCCUUAAAUAUGUAACUAAUAUCGAUAUUUUAAAAUUUUAAAAUAUUUUUAUUUUGUUA